CAGGCUGUCAACAGAAAAUGACUACGGGAACACAAAAGCCAAAAUGAUGUCAGCUUAAUCAGAGAAGAGACCGAAUGCCUCCCAAGGUGCGAACCGGCUGAAUCCCACCACUGCAAAGGACCUUCUGGGCAUGCAGAGAGCGUAAAACGGGAUGAGCCUGCUAUCAAGCACACCUGAAAACAACAGGCAAAGAAUUUUUUUUUGUUAAGAACAGCAAACAUAAGAUAAGAAUUGCCAACUUGUAGAGAUGACCUUGGAGAAGAAAUUUAGAGUGGGAACAGAAUAGAAUAACAGAGUUGGAGGUGACUUUGGAGGUCUUCUAUUCCCACCCCCUGCUGUAGCAUGAGAGCCUACACCAUUUCAGACAAGUGGCUGUCCAGUUUCUUCUUAAAAGCCUCCAA